GAUGAAGAACGCAGCGAAAUGCGAUACUUGGUGUGAAUUGCAGAAUCCCGUGAACCAUCGAGUCUUUGAACGCAAGUUGCGCCUCAAGCCAUUAGGUUGAGGGCACGUCUGCCUGGGCGUCACAUAUCGUUGCCUGAUGCCAGUUUCCUCGUGAUGGGUGACUGUGCAGGGCGAAUGAUGGCUUCCCGUGAGCAUUGUUGCCUCAUGGUUGGUUGAAAAUUGAGUCCUUGGUAGGGAGCGCCGUGAUAGAUGGUGGUUGAGUGACGAACGAGACCCAAUCAUGUGAGACCCCUACCGAAUUUGGCCUUCAUGACCCACCUGCGUCUUUGGAACGCUCAUGACGAGACCUCAGGUCAGGCGGGGCUACCCGCUGAGUUUAAGCAUAUCAAAGCGGAGGA
rnacentral:misc_RNA from 1 species